rnacentral:lncRNA from 1 species
GCUUCAAGCUUUCUAGCGGCAUUCAGGAUCAGGACAUGCCACACAACUGGCUAUGGAUGCGUGCCGUUCAACCAAUGCCCUCCACGGUAUUGGGCGCCUCGCUCUGGCUGCGGGUGUGGCUCUAUUUGCUGCAACCUUGGAUCAAUGAAUGCCUGCUCUUUGGCGGGAGGAACAUGCAGAGUACAGUGCACAACUAGAAGACUGACUGCCAAAUGUCCUGGAUUCAAGAAGUGCUGUGCCAAUACGCGUCGCUAAGGAGCCUUUAUUACAGCAUGCAAGCGCGCCAAACGUAACUCCGUCCUUGUGCAUAAAAACAGAAUGAGGCAUUCUCUUUACCCUUUUCUUCACACGAGCCUGAAAUCAAGCAUUCAAUGC